rnacentral:rRNA from 1 species
UACGUAGGGUGCGAGCGUUAAUCAGAAUUACUGGGCGUAAAGCGUGCGCAGGCGGUUAUUUAAGUCAGGUGUGAAAGCCCUGGGCUUAACCUAGGAAUUGCGCUUGAGACUGGAUAGCUUGGAGUGCGGCAGAGGGAGGUGGAAUUCCACGUGUAGCAGUGAAAUGCGUAGAGAUGUGGAGGAACACCGAUGGCGAAGGCAGCCUCCUGGGCCAGCACUGACGCUCGUGCACGAAAGCGUGGGGAGCAAACAGG